rnacentral:rRNA from 1 species
CCUACGGGGGGGCAGCAGUAGGGAAUCUUCCACAAUGGACGAAAGUCUGAUGGAGCAACGCCGCGUGAGUGAAGAAGGGUUUCGGCUCGUAAAACUCUGUUGUUAAAGAAGAACAUAUCUGAGAGUAACUGUUCAGGUAUUGACGGUAUUUAACCAGAAAGCCACGGCUAACUACGUGCCAGCAGCCGCGGUAAUACGUAGGUGGCAAGCGUUGUCCGGAUUUAUUGGGCGUAAAGCGAGCGCAGGCGGUUUUUUAAGUCUGAUGUGAAAGCCUUCGGCUCAACCGAAGAAGUGCAUCGGAAACUGGGAAACUUGAGUGCAGAAGAGGACAGUGGAACUCCAUGUGUAGCGGUGAAAUGCGUAGAUAUAUGGAAGAACACCAGUGGCGAAGGCGGCUGUCUGGUCUGUAACUGACGCUGAGGCUCGAAAGUAUGGGUAGCAAACAGGAUUAGAUACCCUGGUAGUCCAUACCGUAAACGAUGAAUGCUAAGUGUUGGAGGGUUUCCGCCCUUCAGUGCUGCAGCUAACGCAUUAAGCAUUCCGCCUGGGGAGUACGGCCGCAAGGCUGAAACUCAAAGAAAUUUUGACGG